rnacentral:rRNA from 1 species
UAACAAAUAUGUGGGAUGCUCAAUAUGAGCUCCCAAAAUAAACACAUACAUGUGUAUCCUUCCAUGUUGCUUUCCCAGGCCAGUGGCCACUGCCACCAGCCAGUCCAUUAUUUGGUCUUCAGGUUGAGGUGCUUGGGAAAGGGCCAAUUAUCAAACUUCUUUAUAUUAACCUAUUGUCUGAUGAGGCUAUAUGCCGUAAUAUGUAAAUAUGUUAAAACUUUCAACAACGGAUCUCUUGGCUCUCGUAUCGAUGAAGAACGCAGCGAAAUGCGAUAAGUAAUGUGAAUUGCANAAUUCAGUGAAUCAUCGAAUCUUUGAACGCACAUUGCGCCCUUUGGUAUUCCUUAGGGCAUGCCUGUUCGAGCGUCAUAAACAAUCUGAUCACCAUAUGUGUGGUAUUGGCAGAAGUGGAUAUAGUCAAGAGUAUUANACUCCACUCUGCUGGAAUGAAUAGGCUGGAAAAGUAGAUCAUGGCAAUAGACUUUCANAGUAUUUUAGAAUGCUAAAUUAGUUUGGAGCUGAUCACAACCCAGGCCAGUUGACCCUCAUCCUGUGUAAAGCAGUAAGAAUGACCUCGGAUCAGGUAGGGAUACCCGCU